rnacentral:rRNA from 1 species
AGAGUUUGAUCCUGGCUCAGAUUGAACGCUGGCGGAAUGCUUUACACAUGCAAGUCGAGCGGCAGCGCGGGGGCAACCCUGGCGGCGAGCGGCGAACGGGUGAGUAAUGUAUCGGAACGUACCCAGUCGUGGGGGAUAACUAUCCGAAAGGAUAGCUAAUACCGCAUACGUCCUGAGGGAGAAAGCGGGGGACCGUAAGGCCUCGCGCGAUUGGAGCGGCCGAUAUCGGAUUAGCUAGUUGGUGAGGUAAAGGCUCACCAAGGCGACGAUCCGUAGCUGGUCUGAGAGGACGACCAGCCACACUGGAACUGAGACACGGUCCAGACUCCUACGGGAGGCAGCAGUGGGGAAUUUUGGACAAUGGGGGCAACCCUGAUCCAGCCAUUCCGCGUGAGUGAAGAAGG